AAGAACCCCGGCGAGGGGAGUGAAAAAGAACCUGAAACCGUGUACGUACAAGCAGUGGGAGCCUCUUAAUGGGGUGACUGCGUACCUUUUGUAUAAUGGGUCAGCGACUUAUAUUCUGUAGCAAGGUUAACCGAAUAGGGGAGCCGAAGGGAAACCGAGUCUUAACUGGGCGUUAAGUUGCAGGGUAUAGACCCGAAACCCGGUGAUCUAGCCAUGGGCAGGUUGAAGGUUGGGUAACACUAACUGGAGGACCGAACCGACUAAUGUUGAAAAAUUAGCGGAUGACUUGUGGCUGGGGGUGAAAGGCCAAUCAAACCGGGAGAUAGCUGGUUCUCCCCGAAAGCUAUUUAGGUAGCGCCUCGUGAAUUCAUCUCCGGGGGUAGAGCACUGUUUCGGCAAGGGGGUCAUCCCGACUUACCAACCCGAUGCAAACUGCGAAUACCGGAGAAUGUUAUCACGGGAGACACACGGCGGGUGCUAACGUCCGUCGUGAAGAGGGAAACAACCCAGACCGCCAGCUAAGGUCCCAAAGUCAUGGUUAAGUGGGAAACGAUGUGGGAAGGCCCAGACA
rnacentral:rRNA from 1 species